rnacentral:rRNA from 1 species
UACGGGGGGAGCAAGCGUUGUUCGGAUUUACUGGGCGUAAAGGGCGCGUAGGCGGCCAGCACAAGUCAGUUGUGAAAUCUCCGAGCUUAACUCGGAAAGGUCAACUGAUACUGUGCGGCUAGAGUGCGGAAGGGGCAACUGGAAUUCUUGGUGCAGCGGUGAAAUGCGUAGAUAUCAAGAGGAACACCUGCGGCGAAGGCGGGUUGCUGGGCCGACACUGACGCUGAGGCGCGAAAGCCAGGGGAGCGAACGGG